rnacentral:rRNA from 1 species
GACGAACGCUGGCGGCGUGCUUAACACAUGCAAGUCGAACGGUGAACGAGGGAGCUUGUUCCCUCCGGAUCAGUGGCGAACGGGUGAGUAACACGUGAGCAAUCUGCCCCGAACUCUGGGAUAAGCGUUGGAAACGACGUCUAAUACCGGAUAAGACCCGUGAACGCAUCCUCUCCGCGUGGAAAGAACUUCGGAUGAGCUUGAGGGCGAGGCCUAUCAGCUUGUUGGUGAGGUUACGGCGCACCAAGGCGACGACGGGUAGCCGGCCUGAGAGUGUGACCGGCCACACUGGGACUGAGACGCGACCCGUAGUGCUACGUGGGGCAGCAGUGAGGGAUAUAGCGAGAUGGGCGGAAGCAGUAUGCAGCAACGCCGCGUGGGGGACGACGGCCGGCGGGGUGUAAACCUCGUUUAGCAGGGAAGAAGCGAAAGUGACGGUACCUGCAGAAAAAGCACCGGCUAACUACGUG